rnacentral:rRNA from 1 species
UUUUAAACAUGAAACCGCGGAAAGCUCAUUAUAACAGCUAUAGACUACACGGUAAAUAUUUUAGUUGGAUAACUGAGGUAAUUCUUGAGCUAAUACACGCUACCUAUACCACAUUAGUGGUGCGUUUAUUUGAUUAAACCAUUUGUCUGGUUGACUCAAAAUAUCCUCGCUGAUUUUGUUACUAAAACAUACCGUAUGUGUAUCUGGUUUAUCAACUUUCGAUGGUAGGGUAUUGGCCUACCAUGGUUGUGACGGAUAACGGAGAAUUAGGGUUCGACUCCGGAGAGGGAGCCUGAGAAACGGCUACCACAUCCAAGGAAGGC